UAAAACAUACUGACCACACAGAAAACAAGAGUUUUAUACUUCAUUACAGUAACCAGAUGCUGAAUCAACGUCAGCAUUUCUUUUUUGGUCAGAUUGUGGGUUUAAACUUUGUUAAGUUUAAACAAAUGUGACAAAAGUUGCUUUUUUCUUUUUUCAGCUCUUAUUUGUUACAUCCUGUGUGUGUGUUAAUUCUUAUGUUUCAAAUGUUUGCAGUGCAACAAUUCCCAAGGUGUGAGCACAGGGAAACAUGGUGAAGAUGUUAUGCCAGUGUUUCACUAGAGUUCUCCACAAGUGAUUAUGUUCAUGCAGUUCCUGUGCUGACCCAGCCCUGUGGCCAGGCUGGCAGACUCACCUGAGCUGGUCAGUGAAUGAAUGUGGUCGUUCCCCAGCCAGAACUCUGACUGCUGGUUACCAAACCCUCGCUUGUAAGAGGCCCAGUCUCUG